rnacentral:rRNA from 1 species
GACGACGCUGGCGGCAGGCCUAACACAUGCAAGUCGAGCGAGCGGCGGACGGGUGAGUAAUGCAUGGGGAUCUGCCCGAUCGAGGGGGAUAACUAUUGGAAACUGUGGCUAAUACCGCAUACUAUCGGAUGAACCCAUCUGGGAUUAGCUAGUUGGUGGGGUAAAGGCUCACCUAGGCGACGAUCUCUAGCUGGUCUGAGAGGAUGAUCAGCCACACUGGGACUGAGACACGGCCCAGACUCCUACGGGAGGCAGCAGUGGGGAAUAUUGCACAAUGGGCGAAAGUCUGAUGCAGCCAUGCCGCGUGUAUGAAGAAGGCCUUAGGGUUGUAAAGUACUUUCAGCGGGGAGGCGUUACCUGCAGAAGAAGCACCGGCUAACUCCGUGCCAGCAGCCGCGGUAAUAC